rnacentral:rRNA from 1 species
CCUACGGGCGGCAGCAGUGGGGAAUCUUCCGCAAUGGGCGCAAGCCUGACGGAGCAACGCCGCGUGAGUGAAGAAGGUCUUCGGAUCGUAAAGCUCUGUUGUCGGGGACGAAAGGAAAGGGGAGGCAAUGCCCUUUUUAAGACGGUACCCGACGAGGAAGCCACGGCUAACUACGUGCCAGCAGCCGCGGUAAUACGUAGGCGGCAAGCGUUGUCCGGAAUUAUUGGGCGUAAAGGGAGCGCAGGUGGGACGGUAAGUCUGUCUUAAAAGGCAAGGGCUCAGCCCCUGUAAGGGACAGAAACUAUCGUUCUUGAGUGCCGGAGAGGAAAGCGGAAUUCCCAGUGUAGCGGUGAAAUGCGUAGAUAUUGGGAAGAACACCAGUGGCGAAGGCGGCUUUCUGGACGGCAACUGACACUGAGGCUCGAAAGCCAGGGUAGCGAACGGGAUUAGAUACCCGGGUAGUC